UGGGGAAUUUUGGACAGUGGGCGAAAGCCUGAUCCAGCAAUGCCGCGUGUGUGAAGAAGGCCUUCGGGUUGUAAAGCACUUUUGUCCGGAAAGAAAUCCUUGGCUCUAAUACAGUCGGGGGAUGACGGUACCGGAAGAAUAAGCACCGGCUAACUACGUGCCAGCAGCCGCGGUAAUACGUAGGGUGCAAGCGUUAAUCGGAAUUACUGGGCGUAAAGCGUGCGCAGGCGGUUUGCUAAGACCGAUGUGAAAUCCCCGGGCUCAACCUGGGAACUGCAUUGGUGACUGGCAGGCUAGAGUAUGGCAGAGGGGGGUAGAAUUCCACGUGUAGCAGUGAAAUGCGUAGAGAUGUGGAGGAAUACCGAUGGCGAAGGCAGCCCCCUGGGCCAAUACUGACGCUCAUGCACGAAAGCGUGGGGAGCAAACAGGAUUAGAUACCCUGGUAGUCCACGCCCUAAACGAUGUCAACUAGUUGUUGGGGAUUCAUUUCCUUAGUAACGUAGCUAACUCGUGAAGUUGACCGCCUGGGGAGUACGGUCGCAAGAUUAAAACUCAAAUGAAUUGACGGGGUCAUA
rnacentral:rRNA from 1 species